rnacentral:lncRNA from 1 species
GAGGCAUUACACCAUGGCAGAAGAACACAGCACUGCUGUUCACACCUCACUUCCCAGAUGCCAGGAAAAUGAGGGAAAGGAAGGAGCCUGCAUUUCAGAGUUCCCUUCAAGAUCACACACACACUGAUGUCCGAGUUUCUCGCAAUAGACCCUAUCUCCCCAAAGUUCUAUUUCUUCCACACAGUAAUAACCUGGAGAGCAAAUUUUUACGACCCAGGUCUUUAAGGAACUAAGGCCUAAAUCCAUCGCUCAACUUUAGCAUAUGUUGAAGAUCUUUUUUCUCACCUAAAAAGAAUUAAAUCUGUAGUUCCUGACCUUGAAAGACUAAUGUUAAGUGCAUAGUUUUUUCAGGAUAGUACAUUCGUUUGUCUGAAUAGACGAGAACAUAAAUGUGAACACUGUAAUCCAGCUUUCUUUAGGUCAUAGAAGUACAUCCUCUAGCAAUAUAUUUGGGGUGCAGUUGUCCCUCUAGAAAAUUCUGUUUAGAAACAGACCAUGUUCUUGACCAACAUCACAAAUAGGGUCCAACAAUGGUCUCCAAAGACUUCUCAUUUAUCACUGACCACUAAUAGAAAAAAAAAAUCCAACCUACAUCUAGGAUAUACACAUUUCUCUGCAAUGCAUAUAUAUGUACUCCAAUUGUAAAGAUGUAUAUUUUUUAAAGUACUAUCAACACAAUAGGAAUGGUAGAAUUAAAAUCUACAACGGCUUGUCUAUGUACCCCCAGAAAGUCAAACAGGUCCCUUGAAGUACAUUAAACCCACUCUGGAGGCCAGUGUCUUACACAAGACAGCAGCUGACAAACUCAAAUGUGUUUUGCAAACCAUACCUUUUAAAUAGUUUGGUUUAUGUUUUUGUUGAGGUUGUUUGUUUGUUUGUUUGUUUGUUUGUCUUUUCCUUCUCCAAUUCAGUGCUCAGGCACCUAAUCCCAACCAGUCCCAUUCCAUUUUGUGAGUUAAAAAAAAUAAUAAUGAUGACAUACCUUCAUAUCUGCCAAAGGGUUUUUCUUUCCUUUUGCUUUCUUUUCUUUUCUUUUUUCUGCUGCAGAAGCAGUUUGAGAGAGAAGUUGUCAUCUCGCCCCACAGUUAUGUAAAUCAGAUAGUUAUUUUUGACACUGGUAAAUAAUAGUUCUGUGCACUGACACUGUUUGCCUACCUUAUCCUGUAAGGUCUCCAGUCAGAAUUCAGAUGUUAGUAAGUGAUUAGCAUUAGGGGGCUAUGGCAAGCAAUUUCUACAGUGUUCUUCACCUAUCCUGAAAAGGUGAUUAGUAACAUUGGUAGGGAGAGGGGAGGGAAUGUCACACAGAUUGCUUCUUUUGAUCAAGUCAAAUCAAGAUGUGUGAUGAGAAGAUUGGCUGGUACAUAUGUAACAUCCGUAGCCUGGGUUGUCCCACAUUCAGGUUGACAUUAACACGGUCUGCUUUUAUCAGAAAGUCAUCUGACUUCUCUUCAGACGGUGUGAAAAUCCCUACCCCAUAUGAUAAGAUUACUACAAAUUAUUUGAUGCAGAGCAAAAAGUAGAAUAAAAAACGGUGUAUUGAUGGUGACAAU